UAACCCGCCUGGGGAGGUCGCCCGCAAGGUGAAACUCAAAGGAAUUGACGGGGGCCCGCACAAGCAGUGGAGCGUGUGGUUUAGUUUGAAGCAACGCGCAGAACCUUACCAGGUCUGACAUCCCCUGACAGCCUCAGAGAUGAGGUAUUCUGGUUUCCAGACAGGGAGACAGGUGUUGCAUGGUUGUCGUCAGCUCGUGUCGUGAGAUGUUGGGUUAAGUCCCGCAACGAGCGCAACCCCCGUUCUGUGUUGCCAGCGUAAAGACGGGCACUCACAGGAGACUGCCGGAGACAAUUCGGAGGAAGGUGGGGAUGACGUCAAAUCUCUCAUGGCCCUUAUGACCUGGGCUACACACGCGCUACAAUGGCCUGUACAGAGGGAAGCGAAAGAGCGAUCUGGAGCGAAUCUCACAAAACAGGUCUCAGUUCGGAUUGCAGGCUGAAACCCGCCUGCAUGAAGCCGGAAUUGCUAGUAAUCGCAGAUCAGCUACGCUGCGGUGAAUACGUUCUCGGGCCUUGUACACACCGCCCGUCACACCACGAGAGUCGGCAACACCCGAAGCCGGUGGAGCUAACCCGCAAGGGAGGCAGCCGUCGAAGGUGGGGUCGGUGAUUGGGGUGAAGUCGUAACAAGGU
rnacentral:rRNA from 1 species